UUCAUCAACCUAAUACCUGAUCACAGAUGAGGUAGUAAACAUUCAUCAACCUAAUACCUGAUCACGGAUGAGGUAGUAAACAUUCAUCAACCUAAUACCUGAUCACGGAUGAGGUAGUAAACAUUCAUCAACCUAAUACCUGAUCACGGAUGAGGUAGUAAACAUUCAUCAACCUAAUACCUGAUCACGGAUGAGGUAGUAAACAUUCAUCAACCUAAUACCUGAUCACGGAUGAGGUAGUAAACAUUCAUCAACCUAAUACCUGAUCACAGAUGAGGUAGUCGAAACUCAUCAAAGAUACCAGGCCUAUAAUUUGGUACGUGCGUCUGCGCGUAGUAUAUCUGAAAAUUUGCAGUUUGCUC